AUUGAACGCUGGCGGCAGGCCUAACACAUGCAAGUCGAGCGAGCGGCGGACGGGUGAGUAAUGUCUGGGGAACUGCCCGAUGGAGGGGGACAACUACUGGAAACGGUAGCUAAUACCGCAUACUCUCGGAUGUACCCAUAUGGGAUUAGCUAGUAGGUGGGGUAACGGCUCACCUAGGCGACGAUCCCUAGCUGGUCUGAGAGGAUGACCAGCCACACGGGGACUGAGACACGGUCCAGACUCCUACGGGAGGCAGCAGUGGGGAAUAUGGCACAAUGGGCGCAAGCCUGAUGCAGCCAUGCCGCGUGUGUGAAGAAGGCCUUAGGGUUGUAAAGCACUUUCAGUGGGGAGGCGUUACCCGCAGAAGAAGCACCGGCUAACUCCGUGCCAGCAGCCGCGGUAAUAC
rnacentral:rRNA from 1 species